CCUACGGGCGGCUGCAGUAGGGAAUUUUCGGCAAUGGGGGGAACCCUGACCGAGCAACGCCGCGUGAACGAAGAAGUUAUUCGUAAUGUAAAGUUCUUUUAACAGGGAAGCAAGAGAAAUUUGACGGUACCUGACGAAUAAGCUCCGGCUAACUACGUGCCAGCAGCCGCGGUAAUACGUAGGGGGCGAGCGUUAUCCGGAAUUAUUGGGCGAAAAGGGUGCGUAGAUGGCAUAGAAAGUCUGUUGUAAAAAUGCUGGGCUCAACCCAGAAGGGCAAAAGAUACUGCAAAGCUAGAGUAUGACAGAGGCAAGUGGAACUACAGGUGUAGCGGUAAAAUGCUUAGAUAUAUGUAAGAACACCAGUGGCGAAGGCGGCUUGCUGGGUCGUUACUGACAUUGAUGCACGAAAGCGUGGGGAGCAAACAGGAUUAGAUACCCCAGUAGUC
rnacentral:rRNA from 1 species